CAAAAGGGCUUUUGCCGUCAAUGGUACGUCGGUCUGGAGACGGAUCGGCGCGGAAUCGCCAUCAAGAGAUUUCGGAAGCAUAAUGUUUGGAAACUUGUGGCAGUUGGUCGCCAUUCGCGCCGACGCCCAA
rnacentral:snRNA from 1 species